rnacentral:rRNA from 1 species
AGUGAACGCUGGCGGCGGGCCUAACACAUGCAAGUCGAACGGCAACACAGUAAGCGCUUGCUCUUACGGGUGGCGACUGGCGGACGGGUGAGGAGUACAUCGCCAUCUACUUUUUCUGGGGUAACAACGUAGGGCCGCAGCCGCUACUACCGCAUAUGACCUACGGGUGAAAGCAGUGGAUCUACGCACCUUGCGUGUUUGUAUUAGCCGAUGCCGCAUUAGCUAGUUGGCGUGGUAAAGGCACACCAAGGCAACGAUGCGUAGCUGACCUGAGAGGAUGAUCAGCCACACUGGAACUGAGACACGGUCCAGACUCCUACGGGAGGCAGCAGUAGGGAAUAUUGGGCAAUGGGCGAAAGCCUGAUCGAGCAAUACCGCGUGAGUGAAGAAGGCCUUCGGGUUGUAAAGCCCUGUUGUUGGGAAAGAACAACAGUGUGUGAAACUCUGGACGUUCUGACGGUACCCAAAGAGUAAGCACCGGCUAACUUCGUG